rnacentral:rRNA from 1 species
UCUCGUCAGAACGUCUAUUCCUUCCUUUCGAGACCAAGACGCAUGUCGAGGUUGGUUUAAGGCUGGGGAGACGCGUCUGGUUAGUGGUUACGGACCCGGAGGAAGGUGGUGCAGCGACGGCUCCGGCUCGUCCACGAUGGCGACGGCGAGCAGCAGUAGCGGCGGUGGCGGCGGCGGCGGCGGCGUCUUCGUCGCUCCGCGCCUCUCGUUCGCCGCCGGAUAGGCAUUGGGUAGCAGCGGUGGAGAUGAGUAGGCGAGCAAGAACGGCGCGGCUGAUUGAGGAGCGCACGGCGCGCGUUGUCACGUCCGCCUCGCGCCGACGACGACUGGGCCUCCCGCGACCGCUGCCAGCGCCACCGCCACCGCCCGGCGCGAUCUCGCCGCCUCUUCCUGCCGCUGCCGCCCCUACCACCGCUCCCCCACCACCCGCGCAAGUUCAGCGACAAGCUGGGCUUGCUCCUCUGGUUCCGGCCCUUCCACGACGGGUUCCGCAUGGACUUCCGCCGCGCCCUCCACCACGCCUGCGAGGCCCUCAGCGACCCCCUCCCCCUGCGGCGGCCGCUGAGCCGGUCGAAGGCGUCCCCGCGGCUGAGGCGGUUCUGCAGGUAGGCCCUCAAGUAGCCGCCGACCUCUCCGGUCGGGCGGCAGCGGUUUCUCCUCAGCAUACACCGCGACCUCUUCCGGUAGUUUAGCGACCGCCUCAAGAUGAGGUUCCGUCCCGGGAAGCGGAGCGAUGGCCCUCUACAGUUCUUGUUCUAGGACCUGCUGGAAUUGCGGCGUCUUCGAAUGGAGAUCUAGAGGAACGGAUCGCCGUAACAUAAAGCCCGCAUUUAAAGCAAUAUGAACACCUGCACAGGAAAACUACGCUGCAGUACUCAUUUAUUUAUAAACGUAAAAUAAGUCAAAACGGUUACGUCUUCGUGUCUACAUUGGGACUAACUACGAGCGGUCGUCCGGGGUAGGGGAUACUCAAGGAGGUGUCAAUUUUGUAGGAUUUUAAAGUCCAAACUUUAAUGAGCGUCGUCGUACGUACCGUUUCGAAAAAGCGGGUAUGUUGCUCGUAGAAUGUCCGUUACUCCAAGUUUCCACGUUUCGAUAACUGUCUUUGUUGUUGAUUGUAGGUGAUACUAUACUAACCGCCGCGGUAACCGG